GACGAACGCUGGCGGCGUGCUUAACACAUGCAAGUCGAACGGAAAGGCCCUGUUGGGGGGACGCGAGCGGCGGACGGACGGGUAACAAGUGAGUAACCUGCCUGUGCCUUAGUGAGAGAUUCCUUAAACUAGGGCUAAUACCUACUAGGAAUGAGUGCUGCAUGCAUGGUGUUGGAAGGAUACGUCGGGUGGGUUUGGACGGGCGGCUGGUUUACCAGCUUGUUGGGGGGGUAGUUGCCUAGCAAGGCAUUGACGGGGAGCCGGCCAGAGGGGGCGACCGGGCACAUUGGGACUUAGAAAAGGCCCAGACGCCGACGGGAGGCAGCCGUGGGGAAUAUUGGCCAAUGGGGGGGAGCCUUAUGCAGCAACGCCGGGUGCGGGAUGACGGGCUUCGGGUUGUAAACCGCUUUCAGCAGGGGAGAAGCUUGUAGUGACGGUACCUGCAGAAGAAGCACCGGCUAACUACGUG
rnacentral:rRNA from 1 species